UGUCGUUGUAGUACUGAAGGUUGU
rnacentral:siRNA from 1 species